AUAGGGGAGCCGGAGGGAAACCGAGUCUUAAUUGGGCGUUAAGUUGCAGGGUAUAGACCCGAAACCCGGUGAUCUAGCCAUGGGCAGGUUGAAGGUUGGGUAACACUAACUGGAGGACCGAACCGACUAAUGUUGAAAAAUUAGCGGAUGACCUGUGGCUGGGGGUGAAAGGCCAAUCAAACCGGGAGAUAGCUGGUUCUCCCCGAAAGCUAUUUAGGUAGCGCCUCGUGAAUUCAUCUCCGGGGGUAGAGCACUGUUUCGGCUAGGGGGCCAUCCCGGCUUACCAACCCGAUGCAAACUGCGAAUACCGGAGAAUGUUAUCACGGGAGACACACGGCGGGUGCUAACGUCCGUCGUGAAGAGGGAAACAACCCAGACCGCCAGCUAAGGUCCCAAAGUCAUGGUUAAGUGGGAAACGAUGUGGGAAGGCCCAGACAGCCAGGAUGUUGGCUUAGAAGCAGCCAUCAUUUAAAGAAAGCGUAAUAGCUCACUGGUCGAGUCGGCCUGCGCGGAAGAUGUAACGGGGCUAAACCAUGCACCGAAGCUGCGGCAGCGAACGUAUCACCCAAGACAACUUUACGGAGUUGACGAUUGACGGAGCGAAGCGACGUCAAAGCGUUCAUUAAAGUCGAGUUGGCUUAGGGAUACGUUCGUUGGGUAGGGGAGCGUUCUGUAAGCCUGUGAAGGUGUGUCGUGAGGCAUGCUGGAGGUAUCAGAAGUGCGAAUGCUGACAUAAGUAACGAUAAAGCGGGUGAAAAGCCCGCUCGCCGGAAGACCAAGGGUUCCUGUCCAACGUUAAUCGGGGCAGGGUGAGUCGACCCCUAAGGCGAGGCCGAAAGGCGUAGUCGAUGGGAAACGGGUUAAUAUUCCCGUACUUGGUGUUACUGCGAAGGGGGGACGGAGAAGGCUAUGUUGGCCGGGCGACGGUUGUCCCGGUUUAAGCGUGUAGGUGUGUGUUCCAGGUAAAUCCGGUUCACUUUAACAC
rnacentral:rRNA from 1 species